UACGAAGGGGGCUAGCGUUGUUCGGAAUUACUGGGCGUAAAGCGCACGUAGGCGGGUUGUUAAGUCAGGGGUGAAAAUCCCGGAGCUCAACUCCGGAACUGCCUUUUGAUACUGGCAAUCUAGAGACUGGAAGAGGUUAGUGGAAUUCCCAGUGUAGAGGUGAAAAUUCGUAGAUAUUUGGGGAAAGAACACCAGUGGCGAAGGCGGC
rnacentral:rRNA from 1 species